CCUACGGGAGGCAGCAGUGGGGAAUCUUGGACAAUGGCGAAAGCCUGAUCCAGCGACGCCGCGUGGGGGAUGAAGCCCUUCGGGGUGUAAACCCCUGUUGCGAGGGAGGAAUAAGGCCUGGAGGAAAUGCCAGGCCGAUGACUGUACCUCGCGAGGAAGCCCCGGCUAACUACGUGCCAGCAGCCGCGGUAAUACGUAGGGGGCGAGCGUUACCCGGAUUCACUGGGCGUAAAGCGGGUGUAGGCGGCUCGGUAAGUCGGGUGUGAAAUCCCACAGCUCAACUGUGGAAUUGCGCCCGAAACUGCUGAGCUUGGGGCCGGUAGAGGGAGACGGAACUGCCGGUGUAGGGGUGAAAUCCGUAGAUAUCGGCAGGAACGCCGGUGGGGAAGCCGGUCUCCUGGGCCGCGCCCGACGCUGAGACCCGAAAGCUAGGGGAGCAAACC
rnacentral:rRNA from 1 species